GGGCAUGUAGUGUAGGGGUUAUCGCGCCUCAUUCGCAAAAGCCAAAGUCCGGAAUUGAACGGACAUUUGGUGAAGUGGCUUGAGGAGGUCUCCAGUUCGAUUCUGGACUUGUCCA